rnacentral:tRNA from 1 species
AAUUAAUGAUCUUGAAUAAGAUUAUGUUUUGAAAACAUACAAAAGAAAUUUCAUCUUUCUAUUAAUUU